AAUGAACGCUGGCGGCGUGCUUUACACAUGCAAGUUGAGCGAGGCCACCCGCAAGGGUGAGUCGAGCGGCGAACGGGUGAGUAACGCGUGGAUGACCUGCCCUUUAGUGGGGAAUAACCCGGGAAACGUCGGGCUAAUACCGCAUAAGACCGAGAGGUGAAAGCGGGUCGCAAGAUCUCGUGCUAAUGGAGGGUCCGCGUUCGAUUAGCUAGUGGUAGGGUAAUGGCCUACCAAGGCGACGAUCGAUAGCCGGCCUGAGAGGGUGAUCGGCCACACUGGAACUGAGACACGGUCCAGACUCCUACGGGAGGCAGCAGGUGGGAAUUUUGCGCAAUGGGCUAACGCCUGACGCAGCAACGCCGCGUGGAGGAUGAA
rnacentral:rRNA from 1 species